AGCGAACGCUGGCGGCAGGCCUAACACAUGCAAGUCGAACGAACUCUUCGGAGUUAGUGGCGGACGGGGGAGUAACACGUGGGAACGUGCCUUUUGGUUCGGAAUAACUCAGGGAAACUUGUGCUAAUACCGAAUGUGCCCUUCGGGGGAAAGAUUUAUCGCCAUUAGAGCGGCCCGCGUCUGAUUAGCUAGUUGGUGAGGUAACGGCUCACCAAGGCGACGAUCAGUAGCUGGUCUGAGAGGAUGACCAGCCACACUGGGACUGAGACACGGCCCAGACUCCUACGGGAGGCAGCAGUGGGGAAUCUUGCGCAAUGGGCGAAAGCCUGACGCAGCCAUGCCGCGUGAAUGAUGAAGGUCUUAGGAUUGUAAAAUUCUUUCACCGGGGACGAUAAUGACGGUACCCGGAGAAGAAGCCCCGGCUAACUUCGUG
rnacentral:rRNA from 1 species